GAUGAACGCUAGCGGCAGGCCUAACACAUGCAAGUCGAGGGGUAGAGGAAGCUUGCUUCCUUGAGACCGGCGCACGGGUGCGUAACGCGUAUGCAAUCUACCUUGUACAGAGGGAUAGCCCAGAGGAAUUUGGAUUAAUACCUUAUAGUAUUAUUGAAUGGCAUCAUUUAAUAAUUAAAGUUCCAACGGUACAAGAUGAGCAUGCGUCCUAUUAGCUAGUUGGUGUGGUAACGGCAUACCAAGGCUACGAUAGGUAGGGGUCCUGAGGGGGAGAUCCCCCACACUGGUACUGAGACACGGACCAGACUCCUACGGGAGGCAGCAGUGAGGAAUAUUGGACAAUGGGCGCAAGCCUGAUCCAGCCAUGCCGCGUGCAGGAAGAAGCAUCUAUGGUGUGUAAACUGCUUUUGUACGGGAAGAAACACUCCUUCGUGAAGGAGCUUGACGGUACCGUAAGAAUAAGGAUCGGCUAACUCCGUGCCAGCAGCCGCAGUAAAAC
rnacentral:rRNA from 1 species